rnacentral:rRNA from 1 species
GACGAACGCUGGCGGCGUGCUUAACACAUGCAAGUCGAACGGAAAGGCUCCAGCUUGCUGGAGUACUCGAGUGGCGAACGUGUGAGUAACACGUGGGUAAUCUGCCCUGCACUCUGGGAUAAGCCUGGGAAACUGGGUCUAAUCCUGGAUAUGACCUUUCUCCUUAUGGGGUUUGGUGGAAAGUUUUUCGGUGUAGGAUGAGCGCGCGGCCUAUCAGCUUGUUGGUGGGGUGAUGGCCUACCCAGGCGACGCCGGGUAGCCGGCCUGAGAGGGUGAUCGGCCACAAUGGGACUGAGAUACGGCCCAGACGCCUACGGGAGGCAGCAGUGGGGAAUAUUGCACAAUGGGCGGAAGCCUGAUGCAGCGACGCCGCGUGAGGGAUGACGGCCUUCGGGUUGUAAACCUCUUUCAGCAGGGACGAAGCGUAAGUGACGGUACCUGCAGAAGAAGCACCGGCUAACUAUGUG